rnacentral:lncRNA from 1 species
UGUUUCUGUGCUCCCUCUUAGUGCUCUGAAAUCUUGGGCUCCUCUCCCUCUUGAUUGCUGGCUGAAAAUCUUGGCUUGGCACUCCCAAGCUGCACACCACAGCUCUGGGACAAUCUCAAGCUUUAUAUCCCUUCCCAUCUUGGAGGAAUCAGAGGAAGGAAAGUUAGCAGUGGUUGUGACAGAGGGUUUUUCACUUGUCUCUUGGAGCUCCACCUCAGAAAGACGCAGAGCUGCUAUCAAUCAGUAUGAUUGGCCUAGGAUGGGGCAGCUGUGCUGUGAGACCAACCCAUGGCAGACAUCCAGCUGAUCACACUGUGUCCACAUAAGGCAAAUGCUGAGCUGUAAUCCAUCAAGCUGUUUCCAAAUCACCAGAUCUACUCCUUGGAUGAUAAAGCAAUGCAAAUUGCAGAAAUUAGAGGUGAAAUCAAAUGGUUGAAAGGAACCCUGCUUUGAUCACUUUUUGGCUAAAUUGGAGAAUUCAUUAAGUGUUUAGAUCUCAGUUAAUGUGUAGGAAAAAAUGUCUUUCUUUUAGGUUUGCAGAGUAGCUUAGACAUAUAAUGUUUAAAUCUGUGUAUAAUUCUAGCCACAAAAUCUGUGAUCAGAAAAUAUAUUUCCUUUUUCUUCUUUAUUGAUAACAAAAGGAAUGAAGAAAUUAUAGGUCUUUAGAGAUAUCAGUGUCUUUGGAUCAUGUGAUCUGAUGGAAAGAAAGAAAAUCAAUAUUAUCUGAGUGUCAGGGAUAUAGUAAUUGCUUUCACCUAUCUUGUUGUAUUCUCAUGAUAGCUUAUUGGGUGUAACCAACUACAUGUUUGUGUUUCCUCACAAACGUUAAUCCCCAUUAUGAUGAUAUUAGAAAGUGGGACUUUUAAGAGGUAAUUAGGUAAUAAAGGUGGAGCCUUCAUAAGUGAAAUUAGUGCCAUUAUAAGAAGGACCACAGAGAGCUCUCUUAUUCUCUUUCUGCCAUGUGAGGAUGCCAACAGAGAUAGUAGCUUCUAAGAUGGAAGAAGAAUCUUACCAGAAUUGAGCCUGGUCUUGGACUUCCAGCCUCCAGAACUGUGAUAAAUAUUAGGCAUAGAGAAAAGGCCAUAUGAGUACACAGCCAGAAGGUGUCUGCCUACAAGACAAAGAGGGAAAACUUACCUGAAACCAACCCUGAUGGAUAUUGGAUUUCUAAGCUCCAGAACUGUGAGAAAAUUAAUUUUAUGUGCUUUAAGACACUCAAUUUGUGGUAUUCUGUUAUGGCAGCCUAUGCUAGUCAAUUUGCAUUACCAUAAAGCAACACCUGAGAGUGGGUAAAUUAUAAAGAAAAGAAGUUGAAUCGGCUCAUGGUUCUGCAGGCAGUACAGAAGCAUAGUGCUGGCAAUUGCCCCUGGCAAGGGGCUCAGGAAGCUUACAAACAUGGCAGAAGGCAAAGGGAAGCCAACAUAUCACACGUAAGCUCAGGAAGCUUACAAACAUGGCAGAAGGCAAAGGGAAGCCAACAUAUCACGUGGCGAGAAAGACAGAGAAGCGGUAGGUCCCAGACUCUUUUAAACAACAAGACCUCAUGUGAACUGAGGGGAAACUCACUUUCACCAAGGAGAUGGUGCUAAACCACUAAUGAGGGAUCUGUCCCAUGAGCCAAUCACCUCCCACCAAGACCUACCUCCAAUUUUGGAAAUUAUAUUUCAACAUGAGAUUUGGAGGGGACAAACAUCCAAACCAUAUCCCAGCCUGAGCAGACUAACAGAGUCUCUGAAUAAAUCUAUGAAAAUGACUAGAGUAUUAUUUUGUUGAGUGAUUUCUUCUUGUAUUAGGAUUGGUCUCCUUGAAAAUAUUUUUCUCAUAUCUGUUAUAAUAAAAUACUGAGAAUCAUACUAAUUCUACUCUAAACUUAGAUAUUUAAGAGGGUUGGAUUUGACUGAUUGCUCUGAUGUUGCUAACAUAGUCAAAGACUUUUCAAAACUAAAGUGUAAUAUUAUGUCAUGCAACCUUGAGAAAAUUACAAUGGACAAAGCAGAACUAUAAUUCACAAUUCAUCUCCCAAACAAAUUGUGACACCCCUUCUUUCCAAUCCACUGAAAUAUGCCUAAAAUGAGAAAAAAGGGAAAUCUUAAAAACAACAACAACAACAACAAAGAAAAAACAGAAAACGGCAACAUUCAGGCAAAAAAGAAUGUGAGGACUAUGAUGCUGGCAUGCUAAACUUAAUUAAUAAUAAAUGAGAGAGUUUGGAAUGAU